rnacentral:rRNA from 1 species
CGAUUGACACGACUCUCGGCAAUGGAUAUCUCGGCUCUCGCAUCGAUGAAGAGCGCAGCGAAAUGCGAUAUGUGGUGCGAAUUGCAGAAUCCCGCGAACCAUCGAGUCUUUGAACGCAAGUUGCGCCCGAGGCCAACCGGCCAAGGGCACGUCUGCCUGGGCGUCAAG